rnacentral:rRNA from 1 species
CACGUAGGGUGCGAGCGUUGUCCGGAAUUAUUGGGCGUAAAGAGCUCGUAGGCGGUGUGUCGCGUCGGCCGUGAAAACUUGCAGCUCAACUGUGGGCGUGCGGUCGAUACGGGCAUCACUGGAGUUCGGCAGGGGAGACUGGAAUUCCUGGUGUAGCGGUGAAAUGCGCAGAUAUCGGGAGGAACACCAGCGGUGUAGACGGCUUACUGGACCAUGACUGACGCUGAGGCACGAAAGCGUGGGGAGCAAACAGG